AAAAAAAUCAAGCCAGGAUUUCCCAUUUGUGCUUGCUGUGUUUGGCCAAAGGUGACUCUAACUUAGUGGCCUGAGGUCAACCUCCCCCUCCCCCAAAUCAAUAAUUUAAUGUGACUUAUCAGAAAGAGAAAGAAGUGUUUACUUUAAAACCCUGGAUCCCAUAAAGGGAGAGGGGGAAAGGCUCAGGGGAACAGAUGCUCCAGAGGGCCCUGUUUUUGCCUUUGAGCUGCAGAAAGGUAAGCAAGGAGAAGGCUCCUGAGAGAGGGUGCAGCUAGCACUAAGAGAGAUACAGGGUGCGACAAGGCCUGGUCACCAUUCAGAUGAGAACUUGGGACAGACACUGCAAAGGAGAAGCUCCCCACCACGCAGCCACUCUUGGAGGUGGAUUCUUAACAAGUGAUAACUGCCACCCAGCUGGAAGAGUGGAGAGGUCUACACCUCCACUAUGGCCUCAAACAAUGAAAGGGUAACACAUAAGGGUCUGGAGAGUUCCUUUUUGGUGGGCCUGUGUGGCAGUGCUGGCAUGCAGAGGUGCAGCUGACAUCUGUCAGGCUGUGCGUUAUCUCCAGCCAGAGCUAUGGAGUGUGACAAUGGUGUUUGUGUCCCGUCUAUCAAACGCCAUUAUCACACUAAAUAGCUACUGUUGGGCAAUCCAUCUGUUCAGGGAAGAGCACGUCAAGCAUCACAUUAUCUGCUGAGGAUGGACAACACCAAGUUAUGCUCACAUCAGUGUCCCCCCCUCCUCGUUCUUGGGUGCCAAAGUAAUUUCUGAAAUGGUGGGCUCGUAACAUGUAUGUUCUCUGAGAGCCAGAAUUUUCUCAACUUUGCCUUUUAUCCAUUGCCAUCAAUGGAUGGUUUCUUGUAGGAUGUAAGCUCCUUGAGGGCAGAGAUUGUUUUGUUUUCAUUUUCAUCUUUGUAUCCCCAGCUUAUCACAGCAUCUGG
rnacentral:lncRNA from 1 species